rnacentral:ncRNA from 1 species
UUUCCUGUGCAGAGGCGGGGAUACUUAUACAAGACCAGAAGACCCUGUGGAGCUUAAGUCUCAUAACUCAACAAAUACUAAUACAUAACCUACUGGAACAACCGUAUAAGCCCCUGAGUUGUAGUCUUUGGUUGGGGUGACCUCGGAGCAUAAAAUAACCUCCGAAUGAGUAUAACCCAGAUUAACGAAUCUAAGUGUAACAAUAGCAGUAAUUGACCCAUCUCUUGAUCAACGGAACAAGUUACCCCAGGGAUAAUAGCGCAAUCCUAUUUGAGAGCCCAUAUCGAAAAUUAGGGUUUACGACCUCGAUGUUGGAUCAGGACAUCCAAAUGGUGCAACCGCUAUUAAAGAUUCGUUUGUUCAACGAUUAAAGUCCUACGUGAUCUAAGUUCAGACUGGAGAAAUCCAGGUCGGUUUCUAUCUGUAAAUUCAUUUCUCCCAGUACGAAAGGACAAGAGAAAUAGGGCCAAUGUCCCUAAUAAGCCCUAGAGCCAACAUAUGAAUCAUUCUAAAUAUACUAAAUCAAUUUAUGUGCCCCCAAGAGCAGGGUUGUUAAGAUGGCAGAGUUGGUAAUUGCAUAA